rnacentral:lncRNA from 1 species
CGCGCCAAGCAAGGGGAAGGGCUCCGGCAAUACUAUAUCCAACACAUACUUCUGCCUCUUUAGUGCUUCAUAGCUAUUUAUGGAUACAUUUGUGAUUUUGGUUCCUAUCAUCUGUGUUAUGGGGUUCGCCAUUUAUUGGCGGAAUUUUCGGGAAAGCUGAGGUGAAGAACGGUGAGGAGGAAAGGAUGUGGUUCAGCUUCAAAUCGACUGAUUGCUGGCUUGUAUGAAAGAAGCACUCGACAACCAACUAAGGUAUGCAGCUUUGGAGCCUUAAUACUUGUGGAAUUGUUUGUGCAUGUAUCUCCUAAUUUUUUUGAUCCUGUUGUGUAAGAUAUUAAGAUAGGUGUGUCUUAGUAUUGAUAUUGUUCUUGGCUGGGCUCAGUCGGUGCAUGAUUUCGGUGUGCUAAGAGCAGUUUUCGAAUCUCCCUUAACCAAAAUAAAAUAAUAAAAAGGAAGAUAAAGCAAUUUUAUGGUAACUUUUAGUAGACUAAAUGCAAGUCCAAGUCUAAUAGCUGAGCUAUAGUCACAUUGGAGUUCUAGGUUUAUGCUUGUUCUGCUUUUAUUAAAGAAGCAUCCUUGUUUAUGGCUUGGUGGACCAUAUUCGUGUGGGUCGUUAUUACAUCAGCUAGUCUGGUUUUUUAUCUUUGUUUUGCGUUUGCCUUUAGAAUUUGGCCCUAGGCUUGGAAUUUUUGCCUAAUUUUGGAUAGAGAUUGUUUUGCUUGAACCAGAUUAUUACAGAUGUUUUAAUACAUGGGGCAAGAAAACUGUUUUUGGAUGUUGUUUCAUUUUGGUUUAUUUCAUUACCACUUCUAUAUUCUUCCCUGUUUAAGGAUGUAGUAGGAACACUUUAGAAGUGUUCGAGUAUAGGAUGAUGUGAACUAUAGUUGAAGCUUUUUCGGUUUCAUAUCUAUCGCUAGUAAGAGAAGCAUGAAUGGCUGCAGGGUGCAUAUCUGGAUUUCUGAGACUGAGCUACUACCAGGUGAUAUAUUUGUUAUCAUCUCCAUAUAAAUAACUGUCGUUAUGAACCAAGCAAUAUAAUUUCCCAGCACACUUUUCAUCAAUGUUUUCCCUCUAUACUAUCAUGUGGAGUAUAAGGACAGUGUAUUUGCUUUAUGAUAUCUUGACCUGCAUUUUGCUCUCUUAAGGUACAUAAUGUUUUCCCAUGUCAUGCUACAAAACUGUCAUCCUAUCAUUAAGCUGCCGUGUGAAAACAUGCUAUAAUUGACAUAAGUUUUUUUUUUUUUUACUAUCAUUUAAGUAUUAUGAUUUUGGACGAACAGUUUCAGAUUAUAUAGGAAUGCUGAAGUGUCUUUUCCUCACUAUCUGUCCUCGACUUUUGGAGUACCUUUACAUGUUCAUAUUUAUAGUUUUGAACUCAAAAGCUAUACAAUUGUUUGCAUUGACUUCUUACUUCUGAUUGACAGACUACUUUUAUCAUUAUCGAGGUGUAUCUUGCUUGUCUUGUAUAUAUGUAGGAAAUGGAAUUUGUUGCCAUGACCUGUGAGGAGAAACAGAGACCUUUACCUUAUUCUCUGCCCCCCGUAAAAGGUGAGCUAUUGCUACCUUAGCUUAGCGUUCAUCUUUCCGGUCUAAGCUCAACGAUGAGCUCUUUAGAUGUUCAUUCUGUUCUGAUUUUGAAAGCUGAUGAUUAUGUAGUUUGAUGUAUGAUAGAUGAGCUUCAAAGGGCAGUCAUGAUGUUGCUUGGACACUGAAGUAAUGUGUAUAAUUGCAGCUUUUUGGCAUAUCCUUUUAAGUCGAUAACAGCUAGUUGCUGCUAUG